rnacentral:lncRNA from 1 species
UCUCAUGGAGACCCAACAACUAUUGUAAGAUAUCGGCUGCCUGUGACAAGGUGGGGGAUAUUGGCACCAUGCCUUCCAGUCUCCUCCUCACCCUAUCGGCUACCCACCAGGACAGAAAAUUUAAGCGACUAAUGCGAAUUGAUGCUGUUAAAUUAUAAUCAUACGAAGAGAUAUCAAAGUUUCCGUGUGACCUUGAACCUGUAUGCUGGGAUACAGGAUGGACAUGGGUCCUUUGAUGCUCUCCUAGCUGUUGAUGCACGGAUGGAUUUCCCUUCUUGUAAAACUGCAGCUCAGGGAAAGCAACUCUAUGAGCGACUUAAAUAUAAUUCACAGAGGUUGAAGGAUAAAGUAAGAGGAGUCCAGGUCCAGCUGGCACACAGCAUGCUCUCUGUUCAGGAGAAAAUGAUGUGUAAAUCAGGGAAGAAUAAAGAAUGGAAAUAUUUGGGGGAAAACAUUGGACGUCUUUGA